AGCCCCAUCCUGGCUGCGACAUCUGUCACCCCAUUGAUCACCAGGGUUGAUUCGGCUGAUCUGGCUGGCUAGGCGGGUGUCCCCCUCCUCCCUCACCGCUCCAUGUGCAUCCCUCCCGAAGCUGCGUGCUCGGUCGAAGAGGACGACCAUCCCCGAUAGAGGAGGACCGGUCUUCGGUCAAGGGUAUACGAGUAGCCGCGCUCCUCUGCUAGAACCUCCAAACAAGCUCUCAAGGUCCCAUUAUUAUUCUCUAAGCAGUAUCAUAUGGCAAAUAUUUACAUAUUGUUUGCAUUAUAAUAGUGU
ensembl:misc_RNA 7SK 7SK RNA